rnacentral:rRNA from 1 species
UACACUCCUGCGGGAGGCAGCAGUGGGGAAUUUUACGCAAUGGGGGAAACCCUGACGUAGCGACACCGCGUGAGCGAAGAAGCCCUUUGGGGUGUAAAGCUCUGUCAGCUGGAACGAAAACAAUGACGGUACCAGCAGAGGAAGCAUCGGCUAACUACGUGCCAGCAGCCGCGGUAAGACGUAGGAUGCGAGCGUUGUCCGGAUUUAUUGGGCGUAAAGAGUUCGUAGGUGGUUUGUUAAGUUUGGUGUUAAAGAUCGGGGCUCAACCCUGGGACUGCACUGAAUACUGGCAGACUCGAGUGUGGUAGAGGCUAGUGGAAUUCCCAGUGUAGCGGUGAAAUGCGUAGAUAUUGGGAAGAACACCGGUGGCGUAGGCGACUAGCUGGGCCAUAACUGACGCUGAGGAACGAAAGCCAGGGGAGCGAAUGGGAUUAGAUACCCGAGUAGUCCC